rnacentral:snoRNA from 1 species
UCUUUGCAGCCUUGUGAAACUGCUCCUUGCACAGACCUUUGCACGUGAGCACAACAAGGUUGCAGAAAGCAGCUCAAAGAAUGAGAUGGCGUGACUCCCGGAGGCUCAGGAGCCUGACGUGCGAUGUUCUUUGGACAGACUCCUGCCUUCCACGGCGGUGACGGCCUCGUCGGUAGCCGUCACCUUUCUGCAGGCAGGGAGAGUAAAAAAAAAAACAACAAAA